CAGGGGGAUAACACUGAGAAAUCGGUACUAAUACCCCAUAAUACUAUUGGAGGCAUCUCCGAUAGUUGAAAGUUCCGGCGGUUUAAGAUGGACAUGCGUUGUAUUAGCUAGUUGGUGAGGUAACGGCUCACCAAGGCGACGAUACAUAGGGGGACUGAGAGGUUAACCCCCCACAUUGGUACUGAGACACGGACCAAACUCCUACGGGAGGCAGCAGUGAGGAAUUUUGUUCUAUGGACGCAAGUCUGAACCAGCCAUGCCGCGUGCUGGAUGGGGGGUCUAUGAGUUGUAAACUGCUUUUGUACGAGGGUAAUAUCGGAUACGUGUAUCUGCUUGAAAGUAUCGUACGAAUAAGGAUCGGCUAACUCCGUGCCAACAACCGCGGUAAUAAGGAGGAUCCAAGCGUUAUCCGGAAUUAUUGGGUUAAAAGGGUGCGUACGCAGUUUUAUAAGUUUUAGGUGAAAAUUUCUGGGCUCAAUUUCGGAACGAGCUUCUAGUACCUGUGGAGACGAAAGAGAUAUGGGGGAAAGCAGAAUGCAAGGGGGUAAUAGAAUAAUGCAUAAAUAUUUAUACCAAUAUCCGAUUGUGUAAUAGCUCUUUAUUUUAUUUUGGAGAGGUUGUUUGGAGAUGCACGGUUUUGGGGAUGUAAC
rnacentral:rRNA from 1 species